AAGCCGAUGUGCCUGGCUCGUCAGUGCCGUCAAGGCAGUCACAAAAGUCAUCGUUGAGCUGAGCUUUGGUGAAUUUCUUCGAUCCAUCUUUACAUUUUAUCGUCUCUGAUGAUAUCUUGUAGUAUUUCUCAUCUUGAGGAGGAAUUCCAAGAAAUGGGUCUUUAGGGACGGCAGAUUUAGCAAUGGAAGAUAUACACAACACUCCCAGCACAAGACCAUACAUCAACACUGAAGCAUCCAUUUUCAUUUUCGCUAAAUUAGUUGAAAAUUCACUAAACACGAUCAAUUAUAGCAUCUAAUACAGCUCAUCACUUAGACAAAAUUUCUCAGCUACCCACUGAAGUAACCCACGGAGAGAAUUAUAGAUGAAGGGAAAGUGGGAGUCAG
rnacentral:misc_RNA from 1 species